UACGUAGGGGGCAAGCGUUGUCCGGAAUCAUUGGGCGUAAAGCGUGCGUAGACGGUUAUUUAAGUCGGGUGUGAAAGCCCCGGGCUCAACCUGGGAAUUGCAUUCGAGACUGAAUAGCUAGGGUACGGUAGAGGGAAGUGGAAUUUCCGGUGUAGCGGUGAAAUGCGUAGAUAUCGGAAGGAACAUCUGCGGCGAAGGCGGGUUGCUGGGCUGACACUGACGCUGAAGCGCGAAAGCUAGGGGAGCGAACGGG
rnacentral:rRNA from 1 species